AUUGAACGCUGGCGGCAUGCCUAACACAUGCAAGUCGAACGAGUCGCGGACGGGUGAGACAUGUCUAGGAACCUGCCAGAUGAAGGGGGUUACUUACUGGAACCGGUACCUAAUACCGCAUACCUGCAGAUGAUCCCAGAUGGGAUUAGCUAGUUGGUAGGGUAACGGCUCACCAAGGCCACGAGCCCUAGCUGGUCUGAGAGGAUGACCAGCAACACUGGAACUGAGACACGGUCCAGACUCCGACGGGAGGCAGCAGUGGGGAAUAUGGCACAAUGGGCGAAAGCCUGAUGGAGCCAUGCCGCGUGUAUGAAGAAGGCCUUCGGGUUGUAAAGUACUUUCAGCGGGGAGGCGUUACCCACAGAAAAAGCACCGGCUAACUCCGUGCCAGCAGCCGCGGUAAUAC
rnacentral:rRNA from 1 species